rnacentral:rRNA from 1 species
GGGUUGUGAGGUUAAGCGACUAAGCGUACACGGUGGAUGCCCUGGCAGUCAGAGGCGAUGAAGGACGUGCUAAUCUGCGAAAAGCGUCGGUAAGGUGAUAUGAACCGUUAUAGCCGGCGAUGUCCGAAUGGGGAAACCCAGUGCAAUUCGUUGCACUAUCGUUAACUGAAUACAUAGGUUAACGAGGCGAACCGGGGGAACUGAAACAUCUAAGUACCCCGAGGAAAAGAAAUCAACCGAGAUUCCCCCAGUAGCGGCGAGCGAACGGGGAGCAGCCCGGAGUCUGAAUCAGCUUGUGUGUUAGUGGAAGCGUCUGGAAAGUCGCAGGGUACAGGGUGAUACUCCCGUACACUAAAACACACAGGUUGUGAACUCGAAGAGUAGGGCGGGACACGUGGUAUCCUGUCUGAAUAUGGGGGGACCAUCCUCCAAGGCUAAAUACUCCUGACUGACCGAUAGUGAACCAGUACCGUGAGGGAAAGGCGAAAAGAACCCCGGCGAGGGGAGUGAAAAAGAACCUGAAACCGUGUACGUACAAGCAGUAGGAGCCCACUAGUUGGGUGACUGCGUACCUUUUGUAUAAUGGGUCAGCGACUUAUAUUCUGUAGCAAGGUUAACCGUAUAGGGGAGCCGCAGGGAAACCGAGUCUUAACUGGGCGUUAAGUUGCAGGGUAUAGACCCGAAACCCGGUGAUCUAGCCAUGGGCAGGUUGAAGGUUGGGUAACACUAACUGGAGGACCGAACCGACUAAUGUUGAAAAAUUAGCGGAUGACUUGUGGCUGGGGGUGAAAGGCCAAUCAAACCGGGAGAUAGCUGGUUCUCCCCGAAAGCUAUUUAGGUAGCGCCUCGUGAAUUCAUCUUCGGGGGUAGAGCACUGUUUCGGCUAGGGGGUCAUCCCGACUUACCAACCCGAUGCAAACUACGAAUACCGAAGAAUGUUAUCACGGGAGACACACGGCGGGUGCUAACGUCCGUCGUGAAGAGGGAAACAACCCAGACCGCCAGCUAAGGUCCCAAAGUCAUGGUUAAGUGGGAAACGAUGUGGGAAGGCCCAGACAGCCAGGAUGUUGGCUUAGAAGCAGCCAUCAUUUAAAGAAAGCGUAAUAGCUCACUGGUCGAGUCGGCCUGCGCGGAAGAUGUAACGGGGCUAAACCAUGCACCGAAGCUGCGGCAGCGACACUAUGUGUUGUUGGGUAGGGGAGCGUUCUGUAAGCCGUUGAAGGUGGCCUGUGAGGGUUGCUGGAGGUAUCAGAAGUGCGAAUGCUGACAUAAGUAACGAUAAUGCGGGUGAAAAACCCGCACGCCGGAAGACCAAGGGUUCCUGUCCAACGUUAAUCGGGGCAGGGUGAGUCGACCCCUAAGGCGAGGCCGAAAGGCGUAGUCGAUGGGAAACAGGUUAAUAUUCCUGUACUCGGUGUUACUGCGAAGGGGGGACGGAGAAGGCUAUGUUGGCCGGGCGACGGUUGUCCCGGUUUAAGCAUGUAGGCGGAUGUUCCAGGUAAAUCCGGAACGUUAUUAACGCUGAGGUGUGAUGACGAGGCACUACGGUGCUGAAGUGACAAAUGCCCUGCUUCCAGGAAAAGCCUCUAAGCAUCAGGUAACAUCAAAUCGUACCCCAAACCGACACAGGUGGUCAGGUAGAGAAUACCAAGGCGCUUGAGAGAACUCGGGUGAAGGAACUAGGCAAAAUGGUGCCGUAACUUCGGGAGAAGGCACGCUGAUGGUAGGUGAAGCGACUUGCUCGUGGAGCUGAAAUCAGUCGAAGAUACCAGCUGGCUGCAACUGUUUAUUAAAAACACAGCACUGUGCAAACACGAAAGUGGACGUAUACGGUGUGACGCCUGCCCGGUGCCGGAAGGUUAAUUGAUGGGGUUAUCCGUAAGGAGAAGCUCUUGAUCGAAGCCCCGGUAAACGGCGGCCGUAACUAUAACGGUCCUAAGGUAGCGAAAUUCCUUGUCGGGUAAGUUCCGACCUGCACGAAUGGCGUAAUGAUGGCCAGGCUGUCUCCACCCGAGACUCAGUGAAAUUGAACUCGCUGUGAAGAUGCAGUGUACCCGCGGCAAGACGGAAAGACCCCGUGAACCUUUACUAUAGCUUGACACUGAACACUGGUCCUUGAUGUGUAGGAUAGGUGGGAGGCUUUGAAGUGUGGACGCCAGUCUGCAUGGAGCCAUCCUUGAAAUACCACCCUUUAAUGGCUGGUGUUCUAACGUGGGCCCCUAAUCGGGGUUGCGGACAGUGUCUGGUGGGUAGUUUGACUGGGGCGGUCUCCUCCUAAAGAGUAACGGAGGAGCACGAAGGUCAGCUAAUCCUGGUCGGACAUCAGGAGGUUAGUGCAAUGGCAUAAGCUGGCUUGACUGCGAGCGUGACGGCGCGAGCAGGUGCGAAAGCAGGUCAUAGUGAUCCGGUGGUUCUGAAUGGAAGGGCCAUCGCUCAACGGAUAAAAGGUACUCCGGGGAUAACAGGCUGAUACCGCCCAAGAGUUCAUAUCGACGGCGGUGUUUGGCACCUCGAUGUCGGCUCAUCACAUCCUGGGGCUGAAGUAGGUCCCAAGGGUAUGGCUGUUCGCCAUUUAAAGUGGUACGCGAGCUGGGUUUAGAACGUCGUGAGACAGUUCGGUCCCUAUCUGCCGUGGGCGCUGGAGAAUUGAGGGGGGCUGCUCCUAGUACGAGAGGACCGGAGUGGACGCAUCACUGGUGUUCGGGUUGUCAUGCCAAUGGCAUUGCCCGGUAGCUAAAUGCGGAAGAGAUAAGUGCUGAAAGCAUCUAAGCACGAAACUUGCCCCGAGAUGAGUUCUCCCUGACCCUUUAAGGGUCCUGAAGGAACGUUGAAGACGACGACGUUGAUAGGCCGGGUGUGUAAGCGCAGCGAUGCGUUGAGCUAACCGGUACUAAUGAACCGUGAGGCUUAACCUUACAACGCCGAAG